CGCUGGCGGCAGGCCUAACACAUGCAAGUCGAGCGGUAGCACAGAGAGCUUGCUCUCGGGUGACGAGCGGCGGACGGGUGAGUAAUGUCUGGGAAACUGCCUGAUGGAGGGGGAUAACUACUGGAAACGGUAGCUAAUACCGCAUAACGUCGCAAGACCAAAGAGGGGGACCUUCGGGCCUCUUGCCAUCAGAUGUGCCCAGAUGGGAUUAGCUAGUAGGUGGGGUAACGGCUCACCUAGGCGACGAUCCCUAGCUGGUCUGGGAGGAUGACCAGCCACACUGGAACUGAGACACGGUCCAGACUCCUACGGGAGGCAGCAGUGGGGAAUAUUGCACAAUGGGCGCAAGCCUGAUGCAGCCAUGCCGCGUGUAUGAAGAAGGCCUUCGGGUUGUAAAGUACUUUCAGCGAGGAGGAAGGCAUUGUGGUUAAUAACCGCAGUGAUUGACGUUACUCGCAGAAGAAGCACCGGCU
rnacentral:rRNA from 1 species